rnacentral:rRNA from 1 species
CAGCAUAAUUUUUUGUGGUGCAUUUACUUGAUUGGUGCUUGGGGAUGUUUGAGGCAGAUUUGUUUCCGUCGUUUUGAGGCCAGCUUGCUGGUACCCAAACGGUGUUAGCAUUUUUUGUCUUGGGCAUUUGAGUAUGGCUCACGUGUAUUUAUUGGACAGAUCUGAGUGUAAGUUACGGUCGCAUGCGACACGUGCUUUUCAAUUAGUUCGGUCCAGUUAAUGCUCUCGUACUCGUUCCCCAUGUAAAAGCCGGUCAUCUAUCCGACCCGUCUUGAAACACGGACCAAGGAGUUUAUCGUGUGCGCAAGUUUUUGGGUGUUAAAAACUUAAAAGCGAAAUGAAAGUAAAUGACUCUUUAGAGUCUGAUGUGCGAUCUUGUAAAAAAGUGUAGCAUGGCCCCAUUCUAACUGUUUACAGUAGGGUGGCGGAAGAGCGUACGCGGUGAGACCCGAAAGAUGGUGAACUAUUCCUGAGCAGGACGAAGCCAGAGGAAACUCUGGUGGAAGUCCGAAGCGGUUCUGACGUGCAAAUCGAUCGUCUGACUUGGGUAUAGGGGCGAAAGACUAAUCGAACCAUCUAGUAGCUGGUUC